UUUUUAAAACAUUNCCUUUUGCCCCCAAAAAUAUAAGAGGUCCCGCCUUGCCCUGGGCCUAUAAGAUUAACGGCCUCGGGUUUUUUAACCGGGGGAAGCCAGCGUAAUAACUUGUCUUAUUAAAUGAAGACCUGUUGAAUGGCCUCACGGAGGGCUUAGCUGUUUCCCAUCUCCAGUCAAUGAAAUUGACCUCCCCGUGCAGAGGCGGGGAUAACUACAUAAGACGAGAAGACCCUAUGGAGCUUUAGACCUAAAGUAAGUCACGUUUUACAUGCUACGAUAAUAGUAAAAACUUAGUGAUAAUUACUGAAGUGUCUUUGGUUGGGGCGACCGCGGGGUAAAACACCACCCCCAUGUGGACCGGGGAUAUUAUCCCUAAUACUCAGAGCCUCUACUCCNAGUAACAGAAAUUCUGACUUUUCUGAUCCGGUAUAACCGAUCUACGAACCGAGUUUCCCUAGGGAUUACAGCGCAAUCCCCUCUCAGAGCCCMUAACGACGAGGGGGUUUUCGNCCUCGNAUGAAAAAACAGGACCUCCUAAUGGUGCAGCCGCUGGUNUCCNUUCNAAAANCCNGUUUUGGCCCCCCAAAAAAAA
rnacentral:rRNA from 1 species